rnacentral:rRNA from 1 species
AUACCCUACGGGACGCAGCAGUGGGGGAUAUUGCACAAUGGGGGAAACCCUGAUGCAGCGACGCCGCGUGUGGGAAGACGGUCCUCUGGAUUGUAAACCACUGUCCCCAGGGACGAAGAUGACGGUACCUGGGGAGGAAGCUCCGGCUAACUACGUGCCAGCAGCCGCGGUAAUACGUAGGGAGCGAGCGUUGUCCGGAAUUACUGGGUGUAAAGGGAGCGUAGGCGGGACUGCAAGUUCGGUGUGAAAGCCCAUGGCUUAACCAUGGUACUGCUCUGGAAACUGUGGAGCUUGAGUGCGGGAGG